rnacentral:rRNA from 1 species
UACGUAGGGGGCAAGCGUUGUCCGGAAUUAUUGGGCGUAAAGCGCGCGUAGGCGGUUACUCAAGUCGGAUGUGAAAGCCCUCGGCUUAACUGAGGAAGUGCACCCGAAACUGAGUAGCUAGAGUACUAAAGAGGGUCGCGGAAUUCCCGGUGUAGAGGUGAAAUUCGUAGAUAUCAGGAGGAACACCAAUGGCGAAGGCAGCACUCUGGGACGUGACUGACGCUGAGACGCGAAAGCGUGGGGAGCAAACAGG